UGCUCAGAGCCCAGGCCACAGACUCACCCCAACAUGAGAAGGAAAUCACCACAGAACCACCCUGAGGCCACAUUCCAGAUACAGAAGAGAAGGAG